AGGACUAACGCUGGCGGCGUGCCUAACACAUGCAAGUCGAACGAGAGUAGCAAUACUCUAGUGGCAGACGGGUGAGUAACACGUGGUCAAUCUACCUUUUAGUGGGGGAUAACUAGCCGAAAGGUUAGCUAAUACCGCAUACGAUCUUCGAGUGGCAUCACUUGAAGAGGAAAAGAGCAAUCUGCUAAAAAGACGGGACCGCGUCCCAUUAGCUAGUUGGUGGGGUAAAGGCCUACCAAGGCGACGAUGGGUAGCUGGCUUGAGAGAGCGACCAGCCACACUGGGACUGAGACACGGCCCAGACUCCUACGGGAGGCAGCAGUGAGGAAUUUUCCGCAAUGGGCGAAAGCCUGACGGAGCGACGCCGCGUGUGGGAAGAAGGCCUUCGGGUCGUAAACCACUGUCGAAGGGGAAGAUAUUGACGGUACCCUUGGAGGAAGCCCCGGCUAACUACGCGCCAGCAGCCGC
rnacentral:rRNA from 1 species